rnacentral:rRNA from 1 species
GGCUCAGAACGAACGCUGGCGGCAGGCCUAACACAUGCAAGUCGAGCGCUCACUUCGGUGGGAGCGGCGGACGGGUUAGUAACGCGUGGGAACGUACCCUUUUCUGCGGGAUAGCCUUGGGAAACUGAGAGUAAUACCGCAUACGCCCUUUGGGGGAAAGAUUUAUCGGAGAAGGAUCGGCCCGCGUUAGAUUAGAUAGUUGGUGGGGUAAUGGCCUACCAAGUCUACGAUCUAUAGCUGGUUUUAGAGGAUGAUCAGCAACACUGGGACUGAGACACGGCCCAGACUCCUACGGGAGGCAGCAGUGGGGAAUCUUAGACAAUGGGCGCAAGCCUGAUCUAGCCAUGCCGCGUGUGUGAUGAAGGCCUUAGGGUCGUAAAG